GCUUAACACAUGCAAGUCGAACGAGAAUCAAUGGAUAGAGGAUUCGUCCAAUUGAAGUUGAGGAAAGUGGCGGACGGGUGAGUAACGCGUGAGAAACCUGCCUUUCAGUGGGGGACAACAGUUGGAAACGACUGCUAAUACCGCAUAAUGUUAUUUGGGGGCAUCCCUGAAUAACCAAAGAUUUAUUGCUGAAAGAUGGUCUCGCGUCUGAUUAGCUAGUUGGUGAGGUAACGGCUCACCAAGGCGACGAACAGUAGCCGGUCUGAGAGGAUGAACGGCCACAUUGGGACUGAGAUACGGCCCAGACUCCUACGGGAGGCAGCAGUGGGGAAUAUUGGGCAAUGGGGGAAACCCUGACCCAGCAACGCCGCGCGAAGGAAGAAGGCCUUCGGGUUGUAAACUUCUUUUACCAGGGGCGAACAAAUGACGGUACCUGGAGAAAAAGCAACGGCUAACUACGUGCCAGCCGCCGCAGUAAUAC
rnacentral:rRNA from 1 species